UACAGAGGGUGCGAGCGUUAAUCGGAAUUACUGGGCGUAAAGCGUGCGUAGACGGUUUCGUAAGUCGGGUGUGAAAUCCCCGGGCUCAACCUGGGAAUUGCAUUCGAAACUGCGAGGCUAGGGUACGGAAGAGGGAAGCGGAAUUUCUGGUGUAGCGGUGAAAUGCGUAGAUAUCAUAAGGAACAUCAGUGGCGAAAGCGGCUUCCUGGUCCAGUACCGACGUUCAGGCACGAAAGCGUGGGGAGCAAACAGG
rnacentral:rRNA from 1 species